GUGCCAGCAGCCGCGGUAAUACGCAAGGUGCGAGCGAUAAUCGGAAUAACUGGGCGUAAAGCGCGCGUAGGCGGUUUGUUAAGUCAGAUGUGAAAGCCCCGGGCUCAACCUGGGAACUGCAUUUGAUACUGGCAGACUAGAGUUUGGUAGAGGGUAGUGGAAUUCCAGGUGUAGCGGUGAAAUGCGUAGAUAUCUGGAGGAACAUCAGUGGCGAAGGCGGCUACCUGGACCAAAACUGACGCUGAGGUGCGAAAGCGUGGGGAGCAAACAGGAUUAGAAUCCCCAGUAGUCC
rnacentral:rRNA from 1 species